CUUCCAUAAAUAAUGACUGGUCCCUUAUCAGAAUGAUAAAAUGUUGUCAAUCCUUUUCAUUUAUAUGAAGUUAAAUGUAGUUCAAUUUGCAAGCUAGUUCAUGUGAUCACCUGUCCACCAGCUGUAAAACGUUAAGUACCAAGCUAUAACAAGCUUCACUCUAGGUAUAAUUUCCCUAGAAGUUUUGCAGUCACUAGAUCACUACAAAUUCUGAUCAAAAUAUCACCAAGUGUAACAAUACAAUAUGACUACACAACAAAUAGGUUAUAAAUACAAUUAAAUGUAUACUUGCAAAUAAUUUGAUCAGAGACGGUUUGUGUCAAAGGAAAUGUUGCAAAAUGUAAAGGAAAUGUUGCAAAAUCCAAACAAAUUGAAAAGCUAAAUUCAAGCAACCUUCCACUUACCAAAUAUAGCAAAUGUCCUUAGAGUCUUAGACUUUAUACAGGGCAAAGCCCAAACGAACGAACCGUGAAAAUAUGACAACACUACGGUCACUACUUUAAAUUUUCAAAUGAGAAUCUAUUGAAAUCCAGCAGACUUGUCGCAAUACAAGGCAUCUC